GACUUUUUCGCGUUCUCAGUUUGAUGCGUACUUCGAAUUGGAACAGUACUUGGUCUCCGACUGAUGACGUAUCACGAGUACACGAGAACGCAAGUACGCACAAGUACGCAUAUUGAGAAACGGCAUUAGUCUCUCACUGAACGUGCUCCUGUGAUUAGCCAGCACAUCAUGGAGUGGGUGGGAGGUAUUAUCCAGCAUUGUCUUUAUCUUGGACAACAUCCGCUUCUCAGACACCACCCUAUGUGGUCGGAUCCACAAUCCGUCUUUUACAGUGGUGCAGAAACCCAGGAUUGUGACGUGGAGGAACCGCAACCAGGCCAGCCAGGGGAGGCGCUGGCCCAAAUGGUGGCCGAGCUCACCGCCACGCGGAGGAAGCAGGUGGUGGUGUUUCGCCACCAGUGGGAACAACGGCAGGACUGGACCGAGCCCUGGAUGCAGUGGAAAGAGCAUGGAAGGAAAAUGUCCAGAUUGAGAGGUGACUGUGUGGUGGUACCUAAGACUAAAUAUGCUGAGGAUUGCAUCAUUUUGAAUAUUUCCACAAUGAACCAACAAAAAUAUGUCAAGACUUCUGAACUGAGACUGAAUUCUUGAAUUCAGAACAUGAGGCUCAUGCCCACCAAGUCCUGCAGCGUCUCCUGGAGAAUUUUAUACUUUAUGUCAAGGGCGAGAAAUAACAAAGCUAUUAAGUUGGUGACUGGGAGCUGCACACCAUUAAGUUGGUUGGUUGAAGGGGAAGAGCAUCCACUAGUUGUUUGGACAGGCCACCAAUAUCUCACCUACCUGCAGACCAUUUAAUGCCUGAAUGGAUGUCAGCUCAGUGAGGCGGGAAACGAGAGAAGGGAAGGAUGGAAAGCUGGGACCAGCGCUGACCAGACUGUGGGCUGUUGUAUAAAAACCAAAAUAAACUUGACAUCUGUGAGCACAACCAUUGUGUGCGUGGAGUGCAUUCUUCAAUCUGUAAUUGUAAACAAACAGACGGAGCCUCGUUUUCUUGGAACCACUGCUAACCAAGAAAAGAAUACAUUUUCUCAAAGCUCAGAUCUCACAGAUUCCAAAACUGCAAGUCACGCUCCAACCAAAAUCCACUGAACCAGCCACAAAGGAAGACCACAAAUAUGUUUGAUGCAUGAUAAACAAUAACGUAAAAUCAGACUUAGUGCUUUUGUUCCUUCAAUUACAGAGACAUCCAUUCUACACUACAGCUCAUUUCCUGACUAACUCAAUCUCCUACAAUGCCCCAGAGCCAUUUCCCAUUUAAAAAAUCACUAUUUUCUGCCCAGUUACAGACAUUUUAUUGGACAAGGGCAAGCGUCAUCUUCUGAUUGGUGGAACUGACCUAAACACGGUGACAUUAAUGUGAUUUUGUUGACUCAAAUGAUAAAAAGAGCGGUCAGUCAUGUAAAUUGGGCAAUAGAAGCCGAAGUUACAGAGAUUAAAGGGAAAAGAGACAUUUCCAAACCUUAAUUAGACAGAGGAAAAAACAGGCCAAAUGUACCUCAGCGUGUGGGUACUUCUUAAAUAAAAAUAAUGGAAAAACAAGCAUUUUUAGGCAUGCAAAUAAAGUUAAAUCAUUUCUGCUGUUCAAUACCUAAAAAAUUUCAACUGACAGAUGGUGCCAACAUUUGCCAAAUGGCAAAACACCUGAGUAUCUAUUCAUUAAAAGUUCUGUUCUGUAAUUUUUCACUGUUUUGAUUCAGAGGUAUGCAUCUUUGCACAGACAAUGUUUUUCCUAUGUUGAUUACUGGUUUUCUGGAGUUUAUUGUCUACUGAAGCAUAUUUUCAAAGUGGUUAUAUGAAUUAAAAUCCCAAAAUAAAGGAUAAAGGAAAAAAUCGACUUUUUCUAUGUUCCAG
ensembl:lncRNA